AUGAAGUUUUUCGGUGAACAUAAGGAGUUUCUGGAGAGGUCAGGCGAUUUCCAGCAAAGGUUUUCCGGUUCAGACAUGAUAUGGAAAAUAUGGAGAAGCAAACAUGUCAAAGCUUGGAUUUUGGCACGGAGGAUUAAACUUGUUGUACCCCAAAAUUUUCCCUCUCCUUUUACUCAAUACAUGCCCAUUGAGAUCCUCAAUUUGCUCAGGGUUGCCCAAGAGUUCACCAGACAAACUCUCUCCUAA